rnacentral:rRNA from 1 species
UACAGAGGGGGCAAGCGUUGUUCGGAAUUACUGGGCGUAAAGCGCACGUAGGCGGAUUGUUAAGUUAGGGGUGAAAUCCCGGGGCUCAACCCCGGAACUGCCUUUAAUACUGGCAAUCUCGAGUCCGAGAGAGGUGAGUGGAAUUCCGAGUGUAGAGGUGAAAUUCGUAGAUAUUCGGAGGAACACCAAUGGCGAAGGCGGCUCACUGGCUCGGUACUGACGCUGAGGUGCGAAAGCGUGGGGAGCAAACAGG